AGGACAUCUGUGAAGUAGCCCACAACUGGCAAGGAAAGCUAUUCCACCUCCAGCACCAGCUGCAGGGGAAGUGGUGCCCACUACCCCAACAAGACCUCCUUUGUUGUGCUGCAAUAACUGGGAGUGGCGGCGUUUAAAGUGAUACAAUUUGAGCACAAGGUAGGGGAGCACAUGACUAAAGAGAGGACAAAGACUUGCUUAAAAUGGCUGAGUAUGAAAAACCUCUCCAGCCGCGACACCAAAGCCAAAAUGAACAUGUGCCUUGCACUAAGAAAUCCCAGGAUUGUCACAAC
rnacentral:lncRNA from 1 species